rnacentral:rRNA from 1 species
GCUGAAGCCAGUCGAAGAUACCAGCUGGCUGCAACUGUUUAUUAAAAACACAGCACUGUGCAAACACGAAAGUGGACGUAUACGGUGUGACGCCUGCCCGGUGCUGGAAGGUUAAUUGAUGGGGUCAGCCGUAAGGCGAAGCUCCUGAUCGAAGCCCCAGUAAACGGCGGCCGUAACUAUAACGGUCCUAAGGUAGCGAAAUUCCUUGUCGGGUAAGUUCCGACCUGCACGAAUGGCGUAAUGAUGGCCAGGCUGUCUCCACCCGAGACUCAGUGAAAUUGAACUCGCUGUGAAGAUGCAGUGUACCCGCGGCAAGACGGAAAGACCCCGUGAACCUUUACUAUAGCUUGACACUGAACAUUGAGCCUUGAUGUGUAGGAUAGGUGGGAGGCUUUGAAGUGUGGACGCCAGUCUGCAUGGAGCCAACCUUGAAAUACCACCCUUUAACGUUUGAUGUUCUAACCUAGGCCCAUAAACUGGGUCGGGGACCGUGUCUGGUGGGUAGUUUGACUGGGGCGGUCUCCUCCUAAAGAGUAACGGAGGAGCACGAAGGUUGGCUAAGCAUGGUCGGACAUCAUGCGGUUAGUGCAAAGGCAUAAGCCAGCUUGACUGCGAGAGUGACGGCUCGAGCAGGUACGAAAGUAGGUCUUAGUGAUCCGGUGGUUCUGAAUGGAAGGGCCAUCGCUCAACGGAUAAAAGGUACUCCGGGGAUAACAGGCUGAUACCGCCCAAGAGUUCAUAUCGACGGCGGUGUUUGGCACCUCGAUGUCGGCUCAUCACAUCCUGGGGCUGAAGUAGGUCCCAAGGGUAUGGCUGUUCGCCAUUUAAAGUGGUACGCGAGCUGGGUUUAGAACGUCGUGAGACAGUUCGGUCCCUAUCUGCCGUGGGCGUUGGAAGAUUGAGAGGGGUUGCUCCUAGUACGAGAGGACCGGAGUGAACGCACCACUGGUGUUCGGGUUGUCAUGCCAAUGGCAUUGCCCGGUAGCUAAGUGCGGAAGAGAUAACCGCUGAAAGCAUCUAAGCGGGAAACUUGCCUCGAGAUGAGUCUUCCCUGUC